AUUCAAGGAGCAGCACAAUAACACCAGCAAGACAACAAUGGGCUUUUUGUUGAAAUGAUAGCGAAAAGUCGUGUGUUUCUCGGCCAGAGAUUAGUUGCACGGAGAAAGCAAUGCGCGGUUUCUUAACGGCAUAGCCAUUUAGAGUGGCCACACGCAUCUCUGGGUGCCUGGCAAAUAUCUCAGCUUGGAUGUUAGCCCACCACCUCAAGCUCAACCUUGACAAGAUGCUCUUCCUCACGGGUAAGGCCUGCCACUCAAAGACCUCUCCAUCAUGGUUGACAACUCCAUGUUGUCCCCCUCCCAGAGUGCAAAGAACCUUGGCUGACCCUGGACAACAACAUGACGUUUUCUGCAAACUUCAAAGAAGUGACUUGCUCCUGCAGGUUCAUGCUCUACAGUCUACAACAUACGUAGAGUACAACCAAAGAUUAUGGACAUACUGAUAAGAUACACGUCUCCGCCCUGACAAUGGGAGUAAUUGUCCGCAAAGCGGCACGGCGGGCUUUCUAGCUCCCACCUAUAAUUUCUUUGGAUUGGUGGAUACAUCUCAUUAUUGUAAUCUAUUUUUGAAUAUUCGAUGAGGGUUGUUGACAUCAACUUCCGGUAUUCAAUGGAGAGAAAUGCUAUGCUACUGUAACAGUAUAGCUUCUGUCCCUCUCCUCGCCCCUACCUGGGCUCGAACCAGGGACUCUCUGCACACAUCGACAACAGCCACUCUCAAAGCAUUGUUACCCAUUGCUCUACAAAAGCCACAGCCCUUGUAGAGCAAGGGGAUCAACUACUUCAAGGUCUCAGAGCGAGUGAUGUCACCGAUUGAAACACUAUUACCGUGCACCUCGCUAACUAGCUAGCCAAUUCACAUCGGUUCCACUACUACUAGCCUCAUGACAUGAAUAUACAUAGCCAUCUCGAGACAACUCCAAUAUAAAGUGUUUUUCCUCAAAGUU